rnacentral:snoRNA from 1 species
AGCAAAAUGAUGAGACUAUAUAUCUGAGCCAUCAGUGCUGAAAUGCAUAGCAUAAUUGCCUUCAAAGUUUUCUGAUUGCU